rnacentral:rRNA from 1 species
AUGUACAACUUCUUACCUGGGCUGGACAAAUUAUACACUGUUGGCUUGGCUGCUAUAUGUUGGGCUAUUUGGCUGGCCAGGAACCGAGCCACUUUCGAACUCAAAUGGAUUAACUCUCCAUUUGAGAUUGUAUUUACAGCUUGUGCCUUUUUGAUGUACUGGGGAGGUCUCCAGAAAGCAGAGAUAGGAGAGAUGGUGAAAAAAGGAGCGGAGAUGCUGAGGGAGAACACAACACAGAUGAUGAUGCUUUGCGAUCCCCCAGCUCCAGCUAGGGAUGGACGUGAUGGGAACUGA